UUGGACUAAUGUGUCUGGAGUAUUUUGGAAAGCAAGGUUGGCACUAAAAAAUACCAAAGUGUCGACCACCUCAAGCAAGCACUUCGCUGGGAACGGGCCAAAAUACCGCUGAGCAACAUUUGGACAGCGUGUGACGUCUAAACUUAUUCUAAAAUUUGAUGCUAUUUCCGACAUUUUUGAUUUCAUUCAAUAAA